UUUUUUUUUUUUUUUUUUUUUUAUGUUAUGAUUGUUACUGACUGCUGUUUGCUAGUGUUAAUCAUCUGAAUCAUGUUUUAGCCGCAUUCCACAAACACAUUUGUGUUAGAUUUCAGAUGUUUGUUACUUCCAUUGAAUGUCUAGAUUGGUGGAAUGUCCUGAGGGUAUUUUUAUUAUUAUUAUCAUUAUGAUUAAUAUUAUUUUUGAUAAAUGUGUUAAGUGUCACAUUAUGCCAUUUGAGAUGUUGAUUAGGUUUUUUACUGCCAAGCCUGUGCAUUUCACAUGAGGAGGACUAUGAAGACCUGGGGUGCGUUUAAGAAUGCCAUCACGGUGUAAUGGAAAUGAUCUCCUGCACUUGAACAGUUUAUCAGAGCCGUUUCUAGAGUCAUCUGUUCAAAGAGCUCCUUACCUUACAUCAUGGUGCCUGUAUUUGUAAUGGACAUUUUAUGAGAAAAAUAAAUCUGUGAGUUGUAGUACUGUAAUAGGCCAAACUCCUCAAAAGCCUGUAACCCAAGCUGUGUAAGAGGCGCGAGAUGUGUUUCGAGAAGAAUAACUUGACUUUUUAGUGUUUUUGUAUUUUAUUUUUCUAAUAAACACUGAAAUAUUUUGUUUAUAUAAAGGCUAAAUACUUACAAUGGAUGAAAAAUGUGAAAAAUCUAUAUGUUAAUGUGAUAAAUGGUAUUAAAUCAGACUGGGUUCAA